CCUACGUGUGGCAGCAGUGGGGGAUAUUGCACAAUGGGGGAAACCCUGAUGCAGCGACGCCGCGUGAGUGAAGAAGUAUUUCGGUAUGGUAAGCUCUAUCAGUAGGGUAGAAAAUGGCAGUACCUGAACAAGAAGCCCCGGCUAACUACGUGACAGCAGCCGCGGUAAUACGUCGGGGGCAAGGGUUAUCCGGAUUUACUGGGUGUAAAGGGAGCGUAGACGGUUAUGUAAGUCUGGAGUGAAAGUACGGGGCCCAACCCUGGGACUGCUUUGGAAACUGUGUAUCUGGAGUACAGGAGGGGUGGGCGGAAUUCGCGGUGUAGCGGUGAAAUGCGUAGAUAUCACGAAGAACACCGGCGGCGAAGGCGGCCUGCUGGACUGAAACUGACGCUGAGGCUCGAAAGCGUGGGGAGCAAACAGGAUUAGAUACCCUUGUAGUC
rnacentral:rRNA from 1 species